rnacentral:rRNA from 1 species
AGCGCAGACGGCGAAGCAAGUCUGAAGUGAAAUGCAUGGGCUCAACCCAUGAAUUGCUUUGGAAACUGUUUGGCUUGAGUGUCGGAGGGGUAAGCGGAAUUCCUAGUGUAGCGGUGAAAUGCGUAGAUACUAGGAGGAACACCGGAGGCGAAGGCGGCUUACUGGACGACAACUGACGUUGAGGCUCGAAGGCGUGGGGAGCAAACA